UACGUAGGGGGCCGAGCGUUGUCCGGAGUUAUUGGGCGUAAAGCGCGCGCAGGCGGCCUCGCGCGCCCGACGUGAAAGCCCCCGGCUUAACCGGGGAGGGUCGUUGGGGACGGCGGGGCUUGAGGGCGGGAGAGGGUGGUGGAAUUCCCGGUGUAGUGGUGAAAUGCGUAGAGAUCGGGAGGAACACCCGUGGCGAAGGCGGCCACCUGGGCCGACCCUGACGCUGAGGCGCGAAGGCGUGGGGAGCGAACGGG
rnacentral:rRNA from 1 species